rnacentral:rRNA from 1 species
AAGACCUUGCGCUUUUGGAGCGGCCGAUGCCUGAUUAGCUUGUUGGUAAGGUAAGAGCUUACCAAGGCUUCGAUCAGUAGCUGGUCUGAGAGGACGACCAGCCACACUGGGACUGAGACACGGCCCAGACUCCUACAGGAGGCAGCAGUGGGGAAUUUUGGACAAUGGGGGCAACCCUGAUCCAGCCAUGCCGCGUGAGUGAAGAAGGCCUUCGGGUUGUAAAGCUCUUUCAGCCGGAACGAAACGGUUACGGUUAACACCCGUGACUACUGACGGUACCGGAAGAAGAAGCACCGGCUAACUACGUGCCAGCAGCCGCGGUAAUACGUAGGGUGCGAGCGUUAAUCGGAAUUACUGGGCGUAAAGCGUGCGCAGGUGGUUUUGUAAGUCAGAUGUGAAAGCCCCGGGCUCAACCUGGGAACU